rnacentral:rRNA from 1 species
AUUGAACGCUGGCGGCAGGCCUAACAGAUGCAAGUCGAGCGAGCGGCGGACGGGUGAGUAAUGUAUGGGGACUGCCCGAUAGAGGGGGAUAACAACUGGAAACGGGAGCUAAUACCGCAUACUAUCGGAUAACCCAUAUGGGAUUAGCUAGUAGGUGAGGUAAUGGCUCACCUAGGCCACGAUGCCUAGCUGGUCUGAGAGGAUGAUCAGACACACUGUGGCUGUGACACGGCCCAGACUCCUUCGGAGGCAGCAGUGGGGAAUAUUGCACAAUUGGCGCAGGCCGGAUGCAGCCAUGCCGCGUGUAUAACGAAGGCCCUAGGGUUGUAAAGUACUUUCAGUCGGGAGGCGUUACCGACAGAAGAAGCACCGGCUAACUCCGUGGCAGCAGCCGCGGUAAUAC